rnacentral:lncRNA from 1 species
AUUCUUCUUAUGUACCAGGAAGUUCUUGACUGCCAGCGCGCCAGCCUUCCGCACAGUGCCCUGCGCAGCCGUCAGCAGGAUGUCCGACUGGCCCGGGGAGCUGAGGGUUCCGCUGCUCUGCUCGUCGCUGUGCGCAGAGCCAGCCUCCUCCAGGCUCUCGCUGUUGGUGGUGCUCAUCUCCAGUUCCCGCCUGAAGUUCUCGUACACCCCCUGGCGUGCAGCAUCCCCAGUCGAACUGCUGCCGCUGUCGCUGCCCACAAAGGCUCGGCCUGUGGGAGGCGAGUAGCUGGAGUUGGUGGCAUUGGAUCUCCUGGACAGGAGGUCCGUGUCCGUGGUGGCCCCUUCGAUCCCACUGUCUGCAAACUCACUGCCCUCGCCUGUGUUAACAUCCUUGGAAACAGAAAGGGAGAGAGAAGCAGACAUGCAUCACGUUCGGAAGAGACUUGGGAGCACCUGGUCCAGCCUGGGGCUCUGCAGCACAGAAGGCGCACCGGGCUCCAAAGAUGAUGUGCGGAUCCCUCCUCAAGCCAGCGCACUGCGGAGCGGCUCAGGGAAACAAACCUUCGACCAACCACCCGCCACGCAGCCUAAUGAUUCAGAAUGUUCAAGAAAUAUAAAAGGCACAGGGAACACUUC